AUUGAACGCUGACGGCAGGCCUAACACAUGCAAGUCGAGCGGAUGAGGGGAGCUUGCUCCCUGAUUUAGCGGCGGACGGGUGAGUAAUGCGUAGGAAGCUGCCCGAUAGAGGGGGAUACCAGUUGGAAACGACUGUUAAUACCGCAUAAUGUCUACGGACCAAAGUGUGGGACCUUCGGGCCACAUGCUAUCGGAUGCGCCUACGUGGGAUUAGCUAGUUGGUGAGGUAAUGGCUCACCAAGGCGACGAUCUCUAGCUGGUUUGAGAGGAUGAUCAGCCACACUGGAACUGAGACACGGUCCAGACUCCUACGGGAGGCAGCAGUGGGGAAUAUUGGACAAUGGGCGCAAGCCUGAUCCAGCCAUGCCGCGUGUGUGAAGAAGGCCUUCGGGUUGUAAAGCACUUUCAGCGAGGAGGAAGGGUGGUGUGUUAAUAGCACAUCAUUUUGACGUUACUCGCAGAAGGAGCACCGGCUAACUCUGUGCCAGCAGCCGCCGUAAAAC
rnacentral:rRNA from 1 species